UACGUAGGGUGCAAGCGUUGUCCGGAAUUAUUGGGCGUAAAGAGCUCGUAGGCGGUUUGUCGCGUCUGCUGUGAAAACACGGGGCUCAACUCCGCGCCUGCAGUGGGUACGGGCAGACUAGAGUGCAGUAGGGGGAGACUGGAAUUCCUGGUGUAGCGGUGGAAUGCGCAGAUAUCAGGAGGAACACCGGUGGCGAAGGCGGGUCUCUGGGCUGUA
rnacentral:rRNA from 1 species